GGUCCUAUGGCUUAGAUGGCAAAGUGCCUGCCUAGUAAGCAGGAGAUCACGAGUUCGAGUCUCGUUGGGACCU
rfam:Daphnia pulex DAPPTscaffold_523_Cont9886, whole genome shotgun sequence.